rnacentral:rRNA from 1 species
GUUGAACGCUGGCGGCAUGCUUUACACAUGCAAGUCGAACGGUAACAGGUUAAGCUGACGAGUGGCGAACGGGUGAGUAAUAUAUCGGAACGUGCCCAGUCGUGGGGGAUAACGCAGCGAAAGCUGUGCUAAUACCGCAUACGAUCUACGGAUGAAAGCGGGGGAUCGCAAGACCUCGCGCGAUUGGAGCGGCCGAUAUCAGAUUAGCUAGUUGGUGGGGUAAAGGCCCACCAAGGCGACGAUCUGUAGCUGGUCUGAGAGGACGACCAGCCACACUGGAACUGAGACACGGUCCAGACUCCUACGGGAGGCAGCAGUGGGGAAUUUUGGACAAUGGGCGCAAGCCUGAUCCAGCAAUGCCGCGUGCAGGAUGAAGGCCUUCGGGUUGUAAACUGCUUUUGUACGGAACGAAACGGCCCUUUCUAAUACAGGGGGCUAAUGACGGUACCGUAAGAAUAAGCACCGGCUAACUACGUGCCAGCAGCCGCGGUAA